rnacentral:rRNA from 1 species
CCUACGGGUUGCAGCAGUGGGGAAUAUUGCACAAUGGGUGCAAGCCUGAUGCAGCCAUGCCGCGUGUAUGAAGAAGGCCUUUGGGUUGUAAAGUACUUUCAGUUGGGAGGAAGGCGUUGAUGCUAAUAUCAUCAACGAUUGACGUUACCAACAGAAGAAGCACCGGCUAACUCCGUGCCAGCAGCCGCGGUAAUACGGAGGGUGCAAGCGUUAAUCGGAAUUACUGGGCGUAAAGCGCACGCAGGCGGUUGAUUAAGUUAGAUGUGAAAUCCCCGGGCUUAACCUGGGAAUGGCAUCUAAGACUGGUCAGCUAGAGUCUUGUAGAGGGGGGUAGAAUUCCAGGUGUAGCGGUGAAAUGCGUAGGGAUCUGGAGGAAUACCGGUGGCGAAGGCGGCCCCCUGGACAAAGACUGACGCUCAGGUGCGAAAGCGUGGGGAGCAAACAGGAUUAGAUACCCCCGUAGUC